UCCCCCAGGUUCCGGGCACUUUCCGGUGCGGGGGCAGGGCAGGCAGGCAGGGAGGGAGCCUGCCCUGCCCUGCCCUGCCCUGCCCUGCCCUGCCCCCGGUGCGCACCAGGCUGGAGCCGCUCUAGCAGGAUCGGGGGAAAGGCAUAGAGCACCUGGCCCUACCAGGAUAGGAGGAAGGCAUCAGAGAUGGCGCCCACGCCCAAUGCCCCCCGGAGCAGAAGCGGGGACACUGGCGGUUCUGCUGUUUCGCGAACAGGUCCACCUGGGGAGUGCCCCACUUUUGGGAAAUCCACCUCUGGGUGUAGUGACCACUCGGGCCGAGAGGAGAAGGCACUCGGCCCAGAGUGGUGCACAUGGACAGGAGUGCCACAUAGUCCUGCACCUGCAACCUUAAGCUGCCCUUGACCAGCCAGUCAUCAAGAUAGGGGAAGAUCUGGACCCCCCCCAACCCCGACAUCUGAGGGCCUUGCCAUCAGACGGAAGGUUCUGUAACGAGUUCUGCACCUCGCUGAACAACCCAGACAGCAGGAGCUACGAUGCCCUCCUCAUGGAUACUGCAGAGGCCAUGGACCUUGCAGCCGAAUCUGCACCAUUGGAGGCUGCCUGAAGGGCUGCCCUGGCAGCAGCCAUACCCUCUUCCACCAGAGCCCUGAACUCCUUUUUGUCACGCUUUUGGAGGGAGUCCUCGAAUUUGGGCAGAGAGCCCUACAAACUGAACUCAUACCUCCCCAGGAGGGCCUGGUGCUUCGCCACCCUUAAUUGGAAACUGGAGGAUGAAUAAACUUUUCUGUCAAAUAGA